rnacentral:rRNA from 1 species
UACGUAGGGUGCGAGCGUUGUCCGGAAUUAUUGGGCGUAAAGAGCUCGUAGGCGGUGUGUCGCGUCGGUCGUGAAAACUUGGGGCUUAACCCUGAGCUUGCGGUCGAUACGGGCAUCACUGGAGUUCGGCAGGGGAGACUGGAAUUCCUGGUGUAGCGGUGAAAUGCGCAGAUAUCAGGAGGAACACCGGUGGCGAAGGCGGGACUCUGGGCCGAUACUGACGCUGAGGAGCGAAAGCGUGGGGAGCAAACAGG